rnacentral:siRNA from 1 species
ACACCCAAAGAUUCUACAAUGACA